UGGGAACCCAGUCUGGCUCACUGCCCAGACAUGCUGCGGGCCCCAGUGCUGCUGCUGGUUCUCCUGGCUCCUGUCACUCAGGUAUCUUCCAACAUGGAAGGGGAGAAGAUAUCAGUCACUAGGGCGACCGGGUCAUCUGUUGUAAUCACUUGUGAUCUCACACAAAAAGCCAACUAUAUCCACUGGUACAAAUACCAGGAAGGGACAGCACCCCAACGCCUUCUCUACUAUGACGUCUACUACUCAAAGGUUGUGUUGGAAUCAGGAAUCAAUCCAGGAAAAUACCAUGCUUAUGAAGGUGCAGGAAAGAGCUACACAUUUGUAGUAUCAAAUCUGCAAGAAAGUGAUUCUGGCAUGUACUACUGCGCUGUCUGGGAGAAGCACGUUGGUUCAGACUUCCUCCCAAAUGCGAAGAAGAUAUUUGGGAAAGCAACUGAGCUCAUAGUAGCUCCCCCUGAUAGAGACCUUGAUGUAGACAUGUCUCCCAAGCCCACUAUUUUUCUUCCUUCAAUGACUGAAAUCAACCACGAUCAUGCUGGAACAUACCUUUGUCUUCUGGAGAAUUUUUUCCCUCAUGUUAUCAAGGUUUACUGGAGAGAAAAGAAUGACAAAGGAAUUCUACCAUCCCAGCAGGGAAACACCAUGAAGACCUCUGACACAUACAUGAAGCUCAGCUGGCUGACCGUGACCAAAAACUCCAUGGAUAAAGAACACGUAUGCGUCAUCAAACACGAGAAAAAUAAAAAAGGAAUUAAUCAAGAGGUUCUUUUUCCUUCAGUGAAUGAAGUUGUCACUUCAGUUGUCACUACUACGGAGCCUCCAAAUGAUUGUUUGGAUGAUGAAAGCAAAGGCACUGCUACUGAUUCUAGAAAAGCUUGUCCAGGACAUGAAAAUGAAGUCACUGUUACUAAUGCUACAAAAGAGUGUCUGAAAGAUGAAAACAACACCCUGCAGCUGCAGGUCACAAGCAGCUCUGCCUUUUACACCUACCUCCUGCUCCUCCUCAAGAGCGCUGUCUACUUCGUCAUCAUCGCCUUCUGUGUGUUUAGGAGAACAGCCCUCUCCAGUGAUGGGAAGAGCUUCUGACAGAGGGGGCCAUGGAGGGGUCACCGUUCCUGCAUCAUCUAUUGUCUCUGAACGUGUCUGCUGAGGAUCCAGCCAUGCGUGCUUCCUUUCUGGGUUUGCGUUAUUUCGAAUAAUAUGUACAUUUUUCGAUUGUUGUGUAAGGGUUAAACUGCUGGGCAAGCAGACAGCUUUACUCUGCAACAGGGAAUUCUGCCAUUACUCAGGGGCAGAGCCCAGGGCUGGUCCAGGGGAGCCUCUCUCACCUCUGUCCCCACAGCCUCAUCAGCUCCUCCUGCCCCCGAGCCCUCCUGCCCCUGAGCUCACACAGUGGGCAGCUCUCGUCUCCUCCCUCAGCGCCUCCACCCAGACCACGGCCCCGACCCUCCCUGCCACACACCCUGGAGCCGCCAGCUUUGCUACUUGAAUUCUGUACUUUGUUUUCCAUAA